AGCAGAUGAGCUCUUCAACCAGCUCUACAAGCUUCGACGCACAUGACACGGAGUCCUCUGUGGGUCAUUGCCUCGAACACUGCAUUCCCUCCCAAGCUUGACAAAGCUCUAGUUAUCUCCCAACGCGUCAUCCCAUUUGGGUCAAUGCAACGGUGGCAGACAAGCUCCUUCGCCAAUGGAACCACAACUCAUACAACUCAGUGGAACACUGAAGGCUCGUCACGAAACAAUCGAGAGGAUGUCCUGUCCACAUAGCCUCGGUUAUCACUUCGCCUCAGCCAACAAGUGCUCGGCACAUUUGCUCACUUCACCCUUUCAUAUCAUCACUUCAUCAGAAUCCGCAAUGCUUACUCUAAGGCCGGCACACAAUCGGAAAAAUAAGUCCACUCAUGAUAUAAAUAUUCAUGCCUAAACUUGGGGAGACCAUUGUUACACCCCUGAUCGAACCACUUCGGAACAAAGGUUACACCACUCUCCGAAGUGACAAGUAUCAUCUGAAGUGGGACGACCUCAAUAUGACACGCUGUAAGGUGAAGAGUAGAUCUACUGAAGUAACCGGAGUGUCCCUCAACUCCGAAGCGUUGGGCACUCCGAGGUACCCCCUUAGUAGAUCUCUCCGCCGCCACUGUUAGAAAGAUAUCUGUCAGGAUCUUCUCUGCCUCUAAGGAUCAAUCGAUGUGACGUCUCCAUAGAUCUAGUUGAUAUGACAUAUCGACUUUAUGUCAACUCAACUCAGAAAAACUAAUUGCUCGUCCAUUCUAGACGCG
rnacentral:lncRNA from 1 species